rnacentral:rRNA from 1 species
UACAGAGGUCCCAAGCGUUGUUCGGAUUCACUGGGCGUAAAGGGUGCGUAGGUGGCGAGGUAAGUCGGAUGUGAAAUCUCCGAGCUCAACUCGGAAAUGGCAUUGGAAACUACCUAGCUAGAGGGUCGGAGGGGGGACUGGAAUACUUGGUGUAGCAGUGAAAUGCGUAGAUAUCAAGUGGAACACCAGUGGCGAAGGCGAGUCCCUGGACGACUCCUGACACUGAGGCACGAAAGCUAGGGGAGCAAACAGG